GGGACACGUGGUAUCCUGUCUGAAUAUGGGGGGACCAUCCUCCAAGGCUAAAUACUCCUGACUGACCGAUAGUGAACCAGUACCGUGAGGGAAAGGCGAAAAGAACCCCGGCGAGGGGAGUGAAAAAGAACCUGAAACCGUGUACGUACAAGCAGUGGGAGCCUCUUAAUGGGGUGACUGCGUACCUUUUGUAUAAUGGGUCAGCGACUUAUAUUCUGUAGCAAGGUUAACCGAAUAGGGGAGCCGAAGGGAAACCGAGUCUUAACUGGGCGUUAAGUUGCAGGGUAUAGACCCGAAACCCGGUGAUCUAGCCAUGGGCAGGUUGAAGGUUGGGUAACACUAACUGGAGGACCGAACCGACUAAUGUUGAAAAAUUAGCGGAUGACUUGUGGCUGGGGGUGAAAGGCCAAUCAAACCGGGAGAUAGCUGGUUCUCCCCGAAAGCUAUUUAGGUAGCGCCUCGUGAAUUCAUCUCCGGGGGUAGAGCACUGUUUCGGCAAGGGGGUCAUCCCGACUUACCAACCCGAUGCAAACUGCGAAUACCGGAGAAUGUUAUCACGGGAGACACACGGCGGGUGCUAACGUCCGUCGUGAAGAGGGAAACAACCCAGACCGCCAGCUAAGGUCCCAAAGUCAUGGUUAAGUGGGAAACGAUGUGGGAAGGCCCAGACAGCCAGGAUGUUGGCUUAGAAGCAGCCAUCAUUUAAAGAAAGCGUAAUAGCUCACUGGUCGAGUCGGCCUGCGCGGAAGAUGUAACGGGGCUAAACCAUGCACCGAAGCUGCGGCAGCGACACUAUGUGUUGUUGGGUAGGGGAGCGUUCUGUAAGCCUGUGAAGGUGGCCUGUGAGGGUUGCUGGAGGUAUCAGAAGUGCGAAUGCUGACAUAAGUAACGAUAAAGCGGGUGAAAAGCCCGCUCGCCGGAAGACCAAGGGUUCCUGUCCAACGUUAAUCGGGGCAGGGUGAGUCGACCCCUAAGGCGAGGCCGAAAGGCGUAGUCGAUGGGAAACAGGUUAAUAUUCCUGUACUUGGUGUUACUGCGAAGGGGGGACGGAGAAGGCUAUGUUGGCCGGGCGACGGUUGUCCCGGUUUAAGCGUGUAGGCUGGUUUUCCAGGCAAAUCCGGAAAAUCAAGGCUGAGGCGUGAUGACGAGGCACUACGGUGCUGAAGCGACAAAUGCCCUGCUUCCAGGAAAAGCCUCUAAGCAUCAGGUAACAU
rnacentral:rRNA from 1 species